AGGUUCUCGGAGGAGAGAUUCUAGGUAAUGGCAAAGGGCCUUUCCAAGGUGUACCAGUAGUUUUUGUUUGAACUAAUUUGGAAACUAUUGAUUUAGCCAGACGAACAUCACUCGAACAGGGAUUUAAAAUUCCAGAGGCUAAAGCCUUCUCAGCCUUAGACAAUUGAGACAAAGUAAAGCCUGCUGUUGUGGCUUUUUUAAUAAAACCAGGUGUAGAAAGGUCCUCAUCCUCGGAAUCAUCCGAAUUCGAGCGAUCCUGAACCUAGAAAUUUGAUUUAAUUGGACUCACCUGAUCCUGAACUGCAUGUAUUGGUUUAGGUCGCCGAGUGCCUUCAACAACCAGAUCCACCACCCUGGACAACGCUUCCCGUCCCUCUGCACGGUGCCGAUCUACGUUGUCCUCCUCCUCUUCGUUGGACAGCGAUUGGAGUAUACGGCCAGGUGCCAGGGUGAGGCGUCAAGUCCUCCGUCUCAUGGUUCCAUACUGAAUGCUGCAAACAGAGAGAAACAACGACGGCGAAUCGACUGUGAAAGAAAAGGAAGAGAUAUACAGAGACUGGGUAGACUGCG
rnacentral:lncRNA from 1 species